ensembl:lncRNA
UAGACAUUAUUCUCAGUUGACUGCCCUUUUGAUCAAGAAUGGAGUAGUGCGACUUGAGAGAUCUUUUUGUAAACCAAGCGUCAUGAUUCCAAUAUAGGCCUACUAUUUCAUUUUUGUAUUAUUAGUAGUAUUUUUUUUAAAGUGUGUAAGAUUACAUUAACACUUGAUGACCUGAAUUUACAAAAAAAUUGUUACGAACAUUCUGCGAACAAGAAUAACAUUCUGCAUGGAUGACAAUUCAACAACCAGAAAGUGGAAAUUAAUAAAGAAACUACGGACUUGGGUUUUCCAUAUUGGAUCAAACAACUUCCCUGUCUGCAUAAGAGGAACGUUUACAAUUUCAGAGCCACAAUGGAGACAGUUUCACCGUCCCACUGCGCUCCGUAGAGAGUAUGUACGGCUCAAUGAUUGGGGCAAAACCACGCUGACCGAUUUAUGUUCCAACCUACACCGCUCAAGAGAGGGCUCUCUGUUCCUAUCGUAAGUGAAAAGGCGUGCCUGUCCAAAAUAUUCAACGUAUAGUUAAAAAAUGGGAGGGCACACUUGAACUCGUUGAGGUCCUCUAUGAAGGUAGGCUGCAGCGUGUGUUUAUUGAUGAGAUGAAAGAAGAUGGAAGUGGGAAAUGAAACAAAGUAAGGGAAAAUAUUAAAAAACUCGAAGCCUUGCCGGGGAAAAACCGGGGAAGCUGUGAAACGCUGUCGCCACUGGAGAACAAGCUUAGGACAGCAGUAGGUGUGUAUUGGCUCACCAACACACUGCCAGGACAUCAAAUGUGAUCUGUGAUGACAUUACCACAUGGGGAGGUUUCGGAGGUGUCCAGUUUAAAUUGAAAGAACAGCCUGAAUUCUUCAGACCAUGGAUUCUACAAGGUGGGGGUAACAUUCCUAAAAGGAUGCUGCUCCAUGGUGACACGAUGGCAUCACACACUUCCUACAGAUCGGAUAGUGGUACAGCCAGAAAUUGUCAUACCUGGUGUGUUUGUCUGCUGCAAAGGUCUGUCCGUAACAAGAAGCUUACAAGUUCC